GGUAAAAUGUUUUUCUUGUUUCUUGAUUUGACGUAGAAAAGUCGACGUAUCAGACGCCAUUCAGAUCUUUCCGAUUUCCACUAUUACAAGCUCUUUUCUUUCCAUGGCCGAUACUCCUUUUAUUUUCAACGCGAAAAACACUAUCUUCCAGAUUGCCAAAUUUGUACUCUUAAGAUUUUCAUCAUUAUUGUUUAUGGACAUCACUGUGCUACAUUUAUAUUCAUAUGACAAUGGAUAAUUUUGGAAUUUGCAGGGGGUUUGUACUUGUUAUCUUGAUAAUGUUGGGCUUUGAGAGGGAAGAAGAUCAAGGAAUACUUGGAAUAAAGACAAAGGAAGAUUCCUGGAAGUGAGGAUGGUUGAUAGGUAAUUGAUUUGGGCAAUUUUUUUUUUCAACUUGUAGAUAUGUUGAUAAGAGUGAAGAUUGCUUUUGAAAUGUAUGGCAUCCUUUCGUUGUUGUUAUUCAAUUUAUUGUAUAAAGUAUUUCAUAAAAAAUUAUUUCUCAUAAUUUUUAGAAAUU
rnacentral:misc_RNA from 1 species